UUGUUCGGUGUUCCAGAAGUCGUGUUAACUGACAACGGGUCACAGUUUGUUUCUAAAUCGUUUGAAGAAUUACUAACGAAAUACCACGUUACGCACUGGAAGACACCGAGUUACCACCCUCAAAUAAACGACGCGGAAAGGGUGAAUCGGGUUGUCACGACAGCUAUUCGAGCAAGCAUAAAAAAAGAUCAUAAAGAAUGGUCAAAUAAUUUACAGUCGAUAGCUAAUGCAAUACGCACAUCUGUACAUGAAAGCACCAAGUAUUCACCGUACUACAUUGUAUUCGGGCGGAACAUGAUCACGGAUGGACGGGAGUAUAGGAACCUUCGCGACAUGGAAACACCCGACGAACUACUGGCAGAAGAAACUAGAGAGAAAUUAAAUAAGGAAGUACAAGACAACUUAAAGAAAGCCUACGAAAAACAUUCUAAACAGUACAAUUUGAGAUCGAAUGAAAAAUGUCCAAAAUAUGAGCAGGGUGAAGUUGUUCUUAAAAAGAACACUGAACUCUCCAACAAAGGGAAAGGGUACUGUGCGAAAUUAGCUCCUAAAUUUGUGUUGGCAAAAGUUAAACGUACAGUUGGCGAGCACUGUUACGAAUUAGAAGACGAUAAAGGUCGAAGGUUAGGAAUUUUCAGUUGUAAAUUCCUAAAAAAAUACAAACAAUGAAAUUCUUUGAAAAACGAUUUCUAGAUUUUGUUUUCUGAAAAAUCAGGUUUGAGCUAUGUACCCUGUUAAAAUGGUAACAAUACGGCGUAAGGCCAAAACUAGAGAUAGAGUUUGAUAUUCCAUGGCGAAUAUUAAUUAUUAUAGACUCUAGAAGUGGACAUUAGAGAAUGCAAUCCAUUUCCCUCGACAACGAACUGUGUAGAGCCUUUCUAAAACAACAGUAAGACUCGCGAAUGCAUCAGAGCAGUUUCCAAAUUGUAAAUAUGUACUCAAUCGUCAAGAUAUAAAAUCCCUACCUAAUGUGUUUGUCUAGUAUUGAUUGUUAGUAGUCCUAUCGCUUAAUUUUUAGGUUAGUACUUACAUUAAAGUUAGUCGAUAUAAGAAAAUGAACCUCGCAAUUCCAGCUCAGGUUACAGUGAGCCACUUAAAAGUUCAUUCCAGUGACGAGUCCAUCGGGAAUUGUAUGGUCGAAGGCAUCAAUCAGUACAUCUGGUUAUCCUUAGAACCGGAAUCCUGCGUCGGUCUUACACAUGUAGGUUUUCCGUAUUCCAGUAUGGAUCAGCCGAAAAAUGCUCGCUCAGAGAAGAUCAACGUCCACAAGUUCAAAAAAGUACACCGUAGAAUUCCAUAAUUCGAGUCGGAUCGUCUGCGAUGGGUUGGAAGAGCAAUCAUUGUUGAUUGUUGCGAAUUGCUGUUGAAAUAUCGUCGGUCCGGUCUUCCGGUGAAGAAUUUCGGGAAACAGCACCGGAGUUCGAUAAUCCAGAUAGGUAUCGAACAGGUGAACUCGUUCAUACUUCGGGUUUAGAAGAAAUCCAAUACAAUCCUGCGGCCAAGUCGAAUCGUAUUCCAAUCAUGCCAAUUCGGUGGGGAAAAUUGGUCCAUCAAAUUAGAAUGAUUCCUCCAGUUGCAUGUCCAAGUGAAGCACGUCUAAGAGCCGGAAAAUAGUCACGGAAAUUCAUUCCGGGUUUACGCCUUACAUGAACAUCCCACGACGCAGCAACUAAAAAACAACACAAAGAAUCAGCUUAGGAGAAGAAAACUCACCGUAGUAACUCGCCCCGUUUUCUGGUUCCAUCGAUGAUCGCGAACAAGCUGGUUGAAUCCGGUAAAACACAUUAAAAUAAGAUCGGAACAGUUCUUAUGUGUUUCGAUGACACGUUUGGAAUUCUAACAGACAGCGCGACUUUGUUUAGGUUGAUUUUGACACUUCUCGGCCCACUGCGAAAACGAUGCCUACAUGGCAUAGGCUCGUGAAAUAUUUCACGUGAGUGACUGUUGCUUUCCAGUAAUCGGCGGUGCGCCGAGGUGGGAAUUUGAUGAAAAAAAAAUAUAUCGAGUUUUAGGGAAAAAUGGAAAAAUAAUGCAAAACGAUGUUUGCAGUAGGCUAUUUUUUUCUGAAGCAGUAACAGGGGGUGGGUAUCUUUAACAUAUUUCGCUGCUCAACGCAAGGAUUGGGGUUGAAUACAAAGUUAAGAUAUCAAAAAUUAUCGUCGUUUGAAAUCGAGUAAUAUUUCGUUGAAGCUUCUACGUGUUUUAGAGGAAAUACGUAAGAAGCAUUAGUUUGAAGUCGCCACGAAAAUUUUUUAAUGAGAAACUGGUCGUGUUUCAGCGUAUCGUAGUGGGAGGAAGUGGUCAAAAUUAAAUGAAAGUGAACAUGUUUGGUGAGUGAAAUAGUCGUAAAGUUGGUUUCGUCGGGUAAUAGUUGUUUUUUUGUUGAGAGAAUUUGACGUUUGCUGGAGACCGGAGUCGCCGACGUUGAUGGUCAGUAACAAGCAUACGCUGUAAUGGCCUAUGACUUGGAAAUAGAGGAGGAGUUAACUUUGUUAACGAUGAAACCAUAUGACCCCAAAUUGUCAUUUCUCUUGAGAAAAUGAGAACCGUACACCCUUACGAAAAUUUAGUUGAUUCGAUUCAACUAAAUUUUCGUAACUUAAGCACGGAGUUAUGUAACGGUUGUACCUGGUUACAUGUUUUGUAGAGUUGAUUUGUUAUUUAUAGUAGUUUUUUUUUCAAUACAAUAAUUGUAUCACAAGUAUCUUUCGUGUCAUUUUUGUUAGUAUCUAGUAUUAUUUAUUAAUGAGAUAGUUCUAGUAUAUAAUUGAAUUGAAAACGAUUUCCACCAAUCAUUUAUUGAGAGUCGAACUUGAUAAGAACGCUGCAUUGGAGUUACAUUCUUGUUUAAUGAUAGUUGACCUUAUGUCAUAGCGUAACGGCCUGGAUUGAGAAUUUCCCGAGGUCGAGUUCGGGAUGUAUCUCCCGGGUCAUGUGGAAAAGAGAAAGCUAGAUAUGGGGCUGUAGGAGCAAAAACGAGCAACUAGAUCGUGCUCUCAAAACCCGAGCCUCCCCGAGGGUUCUCGUGGUAUGACGUAGUUCCGGGGAGCUAGGUCUGAUAGCGCUUUCCCUGAUCUGAGGGUUCACAGUCUUACAUUUAGCCCCAGUUUGCCCACGAGGUUGGUUGUGCGCGUUUUUGUUCGGGUUUCGUUAUUUCGUUUAAGCUAGAAAUAAGCCGUGUGUGUGUCAGGUUACCAAUUUUGUGUGCCUAAGAAAAUCAAGAGCGAUCGCCAAAAACAGCAGCAGGCCCCCUGCCACACACCACACCCCGAUACACCAGCCCGUUGGGCAUACCUUCUUCGCUGGAAAUCAAACCACCAGCUCGCCCGAUUCGUCAACAUAUCGGCAUCCGAAGAAGUCUGGGAGAUUCUGGUGGCACUGGAAGCUACAUCCGGUGUAAGCAACCCCGAUUACACCAGCAUACAUCCGGUCAAACCACUAUUACCAUCCACCACUCACCGAAUGAAAUCUGAGUUGCGAACAGCCAAUCAUCGUCGCCGUCGUCAGCGAGCCACAGCAGCAGCAGCAGAUACAACCAAGUAGGUGCUUUCCAGUAGGGGUUCAUCCAUAAAGGAUGACACCUUUCAUAUAACCAAUUGAUCGAUCAUAACCUUUUUUAAUCGGGACGGUUACAAUAAUCCGUUUCCCCGAAGUCAGGUUGCCGAGGCAUUUUGGUCCACCAUUCCAUCCUUUAUGACCGCCCCAACCUAGAAAAACUAAAUAUUCCCCGGGAAGAGCGAUGAAAACAAGAGCACGGAGAACUAGGUAGAGAAAAAGGCACACGGCUAGGUAUAGAGUAGGGUAGCUAGAGUAAUGAUCGUGUUAAUCGUUAAAUGUUAAUUUAUUACUCUUAAUUAAAAUGUAUCCCCUCACCAUCUACAUUCGCCCUUUGAUUACGUUAAUACACUAAAUCCAAAUCCUAGCCAGAAUUUUUAAAUUGAAGAGAAAUGACAACUUCACUUUCGGUCGUUAGUCCAUUCGUCAGCUCGCUCUGCGCUUGGCGCAUUUGAAUUCGAGUCCACCACGCUUCCAGGCUUGGGGAGUUAUUCUGGGAAUGAACGUUUGACUGUCCAAUGAUGAGUGUUUCGGGCAUGGGUGCCGUCGAAGAAUCGUGAGUCCUUGGUCGGCUUGAGGCGUUGUGGUCACGUGUCGAUGUUGACAGACGUUCGUUGCGUUAGGCGAAAGUCUGAGUUUGGUCGUUUCGAAAUCCUCGUAGUCUUCGCUGUUCUCUGCCUUCCCUUGAUUUGGGGAGCAAUGCAAAACGACUCGUUCAAAGGAGUCUCAUCCGGGCAAAAACCAGCUGUGCGGUCUCCCUUCAGGAGUGGCGCUUUUUAAGCCGCACGGAAAAUCCAACAG